CUGUACGAUCAACCCAGCCACCCAGAUGCGGUGAGACGGAGCUGCGGAGAGACCGUGCGUGCGUGCAGACACAAGCGCAGAUGCAAAGAGACAAGGGAUGAAGACAAACCCUGGGCACCUCAUUUGACCUGCGAGCAAUGCAAAAAAAACUCUGGAAGG